UGGGGAAUAUUGGACAAUGGGCGAAAGCCUGAUCCAGCGACGCCGCGUGAGUGAUGAAGGCCUUCGGGUUGUAAAGCUCUGUUGAGGGAGAAGAAAACAGUUAGAACUAAUAUGUCUAGCUCUUGACGGUAUCCCUUUAGAAAGCACCGGCUAACUCCGUGCCAGCAGCCGCGGUAAUACGGAGGGGGCUAGCGUUGUUCGGAAUUACUGGGCGUAAAGCGCGCGUAGGCGGCCUGACAAGUUGGAGGUGAAAGCCCGGAGCUCAACUUCGGAAUUGCCUUCAAGACUGUCUCGCUCGAGGCAGGGAGAGGAGAGCGGAAUACCCAGUGUAGAGGUGAAAUUCGUAGAUAUUGGGUGGAACACCGGUGGCGAAGGCGGCUCUCUGGCCCUGAUCUGACGCUAAGGCGCGAAAGCGUGGGGAGCAAA
rnacentral:rRNA from 1 species